rnacentral:sRNA from 1 species
AUGCAGCCGGGCGCCGCGCUGUGCCUGCGACUGUGGCUCUGCCUGGGACUCCUGGACGGCCUGGCGAGUGGCUACUCCAUGACCCCCCCGACCUUGAACAUCACGGAGGAGUCACACGUCAUCGACACCGGUGACAGCCUGUCCAUCUCCUGCAGGGGACAGCACCCCCUCGAGUGGGCCUGGCCAGGAGCUCAGGAGGCGCCAGCCACGGGAGACAAGGACAGCGAGGACACGGGGGUGGUACGAGACUGCGAGGGCACAGACGCCAGGCCCUACUGCAAGGUGUUGCUGCUGCGUGAGGUGCACGCCAACGACACAGGCAGCUACGUCUGCUACUACAAGUACAUCAAGGCACGCAUCGAGGGCACCACGGCCGCCAGCUCCUACGUGUUCGUGAGAGACUUUGAGCAGCCAUUCAUCAACAAGCCUGACACGCUCUUGGUCAACAGGAAGGACGCCAUGUGGGUGCCCUGUCUGGUGUCCAUCCCCGGCCUCAAUGUCACGCUGCGCUCGCAAAGCUCGGUGCUGUGGCCAGAUGGGCAGGAGGUGGUGUGGGACGACCGGCGGGGCAUGCUCGUGUCCACGCCACUGCUGCGUGAUGCUCUGUACCUGCAGUGCGAGACCACCUGGGGGGACCAGGACUUCCUUUCCAACCCCUUCCUGGUGCACAUCACAGGCAACGAGCUCUAUGACAUCCAGCUGUUGCCCAGGAAGUCGCUGGAGCUGCUGGUAGGGGAGAAGCUGGUCCUGAACUGCACCGUGUGGGCUGAGUUCAACUCAGGUGUCACCUUUGACUGGGACUACCCAGGGAAGCAGAAAAUCCCUUCAUCAGUGUCGAGUGGCUCAAAGGACCCAUUCUGGAGGCCACGGCAGGAGACGAGCUGGUGA